GGGGGAAUAUUGCACAAUGGGCGCAAGCCUGAUGCAGCCAUGCCGCGUGUAUGAAGAAGGCCUUCGGGUUGUAAAGUACUUUCAGCGGGGAGGAAGGUGUUGAGGUUAAUAACCUCAGCAAUUGACGUUACCCGCAGAAGAAGCACCGGCUAACUCCGUGCCAGCAGCCGCGGUAAUACGGAGGGUGCAAGCGUUAAUCGGACAUACUGGGCGUAAAGCGCACGCAGGCGGUCUGUCAAGUCGGAUGUGAAAUCCCCGGGCUCAACCUGGGAACUGCAUUCGAAACUGGCAGGCUAGAGUCUUGUAGAGGGGGGUAGAAUUCCAGGUGUAGCGGUGAAAUGCGUAGAGAUCUGGAGGAAUACCGGUGGCGAAGGCGGCCCCCUGGACAAAGACUGACGCUCAGGUGCGAAAGCGUGGGGAGCAAACA
rnacentral:rRNA from 1 species